GAUGAACGCUGGCGGCGUGCCUAAUACAUGCAAGUCGAGCGAACAGACGAGGAGCUUGCUCCUCUGACGUUAGCGGCGGACGGGUGAGUAACACGUGGAUAACCUACCUAUAAGACUGGGAUAACUUCGGGAAACCGGAGCUAAUACCGGAUAACAUGUUGAACCGCAUGGUUCAACAGUGAAAGACGGUCUUGCUGUCACUUAUAGAUGGAUCCGCGCCGCAUUAGCUAGUUGGUAAGGUAACGGCUUACCAAGGCAACGAUGCGUAGCCGACCUGAGAGGGUGAUCGGCCACACUGGAACUGAGACACGGUCCAGACUCCUACGGGAGGCAGCAGUAGGGAAUCUUCCGCAAUGGGCGAAAGCCUGACGGAGCAACGCCGCGUGAGUAAAGAAGGUCUUCGGAUCGUAAAACUCUGUUAUUAGGGAAGAACAAAUGUGUAAGUAACUAUGCACGUCCUGACGGUACCUAAUCAGAAAGCCACGGCUAACUACGUG
rnacentral:rRNA from 1 species